CUACCAAACACCUCACAUCACUCUAAAACUUUCCAUAAACACUAUCUAUCCUCAUUUGAUCAAGAGAUUCCUUGAAGAAGAGCCUCAAAAUUUAGAGUGAGAAAGUGUAAACUUUGGUAAGAACUUGGGCCCGAGCGAGACGAAGAAGUAAGUUGCCUGAUUUCUUUCCAGAAUAAGCGAAGGACUUCAGGCUAAGCUGGGAGUGAGAUUGGACUGGUGCUGAUGGGGGAGAGUUUCAAAUGAUGUAAAUUAAAUUACUAUUUUGCCUCUAUGAUAAUAGAGUCUUGAUGUUUGAAUUACUUAGUUUCUUUUGAGAUCAAGCAAUACACUCACGGUUAUGUGUCUUCAUACAUAUAAUCGGUUCGCC